AAUCAACGCUGGCGGCGUGCCUAACACAUGCAAGUCGAACGGGAAAACGGGGGCAACUCCGUGAGUAUAGUGGCGUACGGGUGAGUAACACGUGACUACCUACCUUUGAGUGGGGGAUAACCCCGGGAAACCGGGGCUAAUACCGCAUAACAUCGCAAGAUCAAAGAAGCAAUUCGCUUAAAAGAGGGGGUCGCGGCUGAUUAGCUAGUUGGUAGGGUAAUGGCCUACCAAGGCGAUGAUCGGUAGCCGGCCUGAGAGGGCGCACGGCCACACUGGAACUGAAACACGGUCCAGACUCCUACGGGAGGCAGCAGUGGGGAAUUUUGCGCAAUGGGGGAAACCCUGACGCAGCAACGCCGCGUGGAGGAUGAAGUCCCUUGGGACGUAAACUCCUUUCGACCGGGACGAUUAUGACGGUACCGGUGGAAGAAGCCCCGGCUAACUUCGUGCCCAGCAGCCGCCGUAAG
rnacentral:rRNA from 1 species